AUUGAACGCUGGCGGCAUGCCUAACACAUGCAAGUCGAGCGAGCGGCGGACGGGUGAGUAAUGUAUGGGGACUGCCCGUUAGAGGGGGAUAAGUACUGGAAACGGUAGCUAAUACCGCAUACUAUCGGAUAACCCAUAUGGUAUUAGCUAGUAGGUGAGGGAAUGGCUCACCUAGGCGACGAUCCAUAGCUGGUCUGAGAGGUUGAUCAGCCACACUGGGACUGAGAAACGGCCCAGACUCCUACGGAGGAAGCAGUGGGGAAGAUUGCACAAUGGGCGCAAGCCGGAUGCAGCCAUGCCGCGUGUAUGAAGAAGGCCCUAGGGUUGUAAAGUACUGUCAGUCGGGAGGCGUUACCGACAGAAGAAGCACCGGCUAACUCCGUGCCAGCCGCCGCGGUAAUUC
rnacentral:rRNA from 1 species